CCGCAAGGAGGACGCUUACCACGGUGUGGCAGAUGACUGGGGUGAAGUCGUAACAAGGUAGCCGUAGGGGAACCUGCGGCUGGAUCACCUCCUUAACGAA
rnacentral:rRNA from 1 species